rnacentral:tRNA from 1 species
GGGCCUGUAGCUCAACGGCAGAGCAGUCGGCUCAUAACCGAUCGGUUCUAGGUUCGAGUCCUAGCAGGCCCA